rnacentral:rRNA from 1 species
AGCAGCCGCGGUAAUUCCAGCUCCAAUAGCGUAUAUUAAAGUUGCUGCAGUUAAAAAGCUCGUAGUUGAAUUUCGGGAUCAAUAUGUUGGUCAUGCCUUGGUACGUACUAGCUUAUUGAUUUCUCCCUUCUGAUGAACCAUGAUGUCAUUAAUUUGGUGUCAUGGGAAUUAGGACUGUUACUUUGAAAAAAUUAGAGUGUUUAAAGCAGGCUCACGCUUGAAUACAUUAGCAUGGAAUAAUGAAAUAGGACGUUUGAUUCUAUUUUGUUGGUUUCUAGGAUCGAUGUAAUGAUUAAUAGGGAUAGUUGGGGGCAUUAGUAUUCAAUUGUCAGAGGUGAAAUUCUUGGAUUUAUUGAAGACUAACUAUUGCGAAAGCAUUUGCCAAGGAUGUUUUCAUUAAUCAAGAACGAAAGUUAGGGAUCG